rnacentral:rRNA from 1 species
ACGGAAGGCAGCAGCUAAGAAUAUUCCGCAAUGGACGAAAGUCUGACGGAGCGACGCCGCGUGGAUGAUGACGGUCGGAAGAUUGUAAAAUCCUUUUAAGCAUGAAGAAUAAGUAGUGUAGGUAAUGACAUUGUGGUGACGGUAGUGCUUGAAUAAGCAACGGCUAAUUACGUGCCAGCAGCCGCGGUAAUACGUAAGUUGCGAGCGUUGUUCGGAAUUAUUGGGCGUAAAGGGCAUGUAGGCGGAUAUGCAAGCUUGGUGUGAAAGGCGGGAGGUUAACUUCCGAACUGCGUUGAGAAAUGCAGAACUAGAGUGACUGAGGGGCAGGCAGAAUUCCAGGUGUAGGGGUGAAAUCUGAAGAUAUCUGGAAGAAUACCAAUGGCGAAGGCAGCCUGCCAGCAGAUGACUGACGCUGAGGUGCGAAAGUGCGGGGAGCAAACAGGAUUAGAUACCCUGGUA